rnacentral:rRNA from 1 species
UGCCAGCCGCCGCGGUAAUACGGAGGGGGCUAGCGUUGUUCGGAAUUACUGGGCGUAAAGCGCGCGUAGGCGGAUUGAUCAGUUGGGGGUGAAAUCCCGAGGCUUAACCUCGGAACUGCCCUCAAUACUGUCAGUCUAGAGUUCGGAAGAGGUAAGUGGAGUUCCUAGUGUAGAGGUGAAAUUCGUAGAUAUUAGGAAGAACACCAGUGGCGAAGGCGGCUUACUGGUCCGAUACUGACGCUGAGGUGCGAAAGCGUGGGGAGCAAACAGGAUUAGAUA